CAGUAGCCACGGUAAUACGUAGGGUGCAAGCGUUAAUCGGAAUUACUGGGCGUAAAGCGUGCGUAGGCGGCUUCUUAAGUCGGAUGUGAAAUCCCUGAGCUUAACUUAGGAAUUGCAUUCGAUACUGGGAAGCUAGAGUAUGGGAGAGGAUGGUAGAAUUCCAGGUGUAGCGGUGAAAUUCGUAGAGAUCUGGAGGAAUACCGAUGGCGAAGGCAGCCAUCUGGCAUAAUACUGACGCUGAGGUACGAAAGCAUGGGGAGCAAACAGGAUUAGAUACCCGCGUAGUCCCUGUCUCUUAACA
rnacentral:rRNA from 1 species